rnacentral:misc_RNA from 1 species
AGAGACCAAAAAAAAGCAACUGCACACAAAAACAUAGAUUCUCUCCACUGGAUUCAACUCAGUUUAGGUUAUGGCUGUAUCUACAUGCAGCCAAAAUUUCUGUGCAAAAAUAGAGAUAUAAUAAGCUCUUUGGCAACCACAGCAUAGAGCAGCAUUAAAUCAAGAGAUUAUAAUCAACUCUUGAACUUCGAAGAAAUGAAAACAUUAAUUUAUAACGAAAAAUGAAGAAGAAAAAGUAAAAGUUCCCCCAUCAAACAAGCUUUUAUCAAAAUAAACAUGGUCAUUUUAAAUUUUUUUUAAGCACAGUAUAACCUCAUUU